rnacentral:rRNA from 1 species
GAUGAACGCUGGCGGCGUGCUUAACACAUGCAAGUCGAACGAUGAAGCCCGGCUUGCUGGGUGGCGUAGUGGCGAACGGGUGAGUAACACGUUAGUAACCUGCCCUUCACUCUGGGAUAAGCCUUGGAAACUGGGUCUAAUACCGGAUAGGAGCGCCUACCGCAUGGUGGGUGUUGGCAAUAUUUAUCGGUUUUGGAUGGACUAGCGGCUUAUCAGCUUGUUGUUGAGGUAAUGGCUCACCAAGGCGACGACGGGUAGCCGGCCUGAGAGGGUCACCGGCCACACUGGGACUGAGACACGGCACAGACUCCUACGGGAGGCAGCAGUGGAGAAUAUUGCACAAUGGGCGAAAGCCUGAUGUAGCGACGCCGCGUGAGGGAUGACGGCCUUCGGGUUGUAAACCUCUUUCAGUAGGGAAGAAGCGAAAGUGACGGUACCUGCAGAAGAAGCACCGGCUAACUACGUG